AGUCUCGCUCUCAGGCUGGAGCCAGUGCCCGGUUCCAGUUCCGGUUCCUGUGUGCAAGGCCAGAAUCUCCAGUCCCUGCUCCACUGCCUGGGCACUGACGGAGUAUCAUCACGCACGCUCUCCCCCCCACACCCCUUUCUUUUUUCCUCUUAAGAUAUGCCCCCCAUCACUAUUACCUCAGCCCUGUGAGCCUGAACUAGGGCAGGGAGAGACUCCCCUGUCUCCUACCAUUCCUGACUCUAAGUGACCUCAGAGUCACUUUCUCCAACUCCCUGCCUCAUGCUGCAAUCCUCUCGAGCACCUCCACCAGAAGCGGCUCCUGCCUGAAACUUCUCAGGUAAGAGGUGUCCCCUGCCUCUCUGGGUGGCCGUUCUGUUCUGGAAAGUUCCAAUGGCUAGACGUAAGCCAGCAUCUGCCACACUGAAACGUCUCCAGAGAAGAAAAAACAAGGAGCAACAAGAGAUUUGUGUGAGAGGACGUGUUGGGAAAUUCUGCAGAAGUUCGAGGAAUGAGAUGGUGUGUCUCUCCACAGCACCGUGAUCUGGAAUCCUGUGAUCACCCUAACGAUGCUAUCAACCUGUGCCUCCUGGCAUCCACAGCACCUGGCUCCCUGAAGUGAUCAGUGAACACCUUCAGAGAAAGACACGUCUCCAGGUGGGUCUUGGGACAGUCAUCACCCACCCGAACCAGCCAUAUUCUCCUGCCUCUGUCUCGAAGCACGCGAGGAGGGCUGCUUCCCAGGCCUAGGAGGCAGCUCACUGACUAAAUGGACCUCUCUCUGUGCAACAGGCUCCAUUUAUCUCCCCAUGGACUCUGCAGCCCCGUGGGGCCCCGGCUGGCUGGGCAACCACCGUGGACACCUUCACGAAGGCCCAGAUGCUUGCUCAGCCUGGUAUCAUAUUUCAUCUCCCCCUCCCUCCCUGAGACACAGUCAGAAUUGAGAUGGAUGACACUGGUUCACGGGCUAAUAUUUCAAGUGAGAGUUGGAUGGAGGCUUAAUAGAAUUAAUUAAUUCUCUCUGUUCCAAGAAGGAAGGAAAAGGAGAUAUGGGGAAAUCUCCACCACAGCUGGCUCUGGAGACACUGGCAGGUGCUCACCGGCUUCUUUCGCUACCCUGAUUUCCUCUGACCCAGGGUCAGCUUUGUUCAGGGCAAUAAAGAAAAGCUACUCUUC